rnacentral:rRNA from 1 species
GCUGGCGGCAGGCCUAACACAUGCAAGUCGAACGGAGUUAUAUUGUAGCUUGCUAUGGUAUAACUUAGUGGCAGACGGGUGAGUAAUGUAUAGGAAUCUACCUAGUAGUACGGAAUAAUUGUUGGAAACGGCAACUAAUACCGUAUACGCCCUACGGGGGAAAAAUUUAUUGCUAUUAGAUGAGCCUAUAUUAGAUUAGCUAGUUGGUGGAGUAAUAGCCUACCAAGGCAAUGAUCUAUAGCUGAUCUGAGAGGAUGAUCAGCCACACUGGAACUGAGAUACGGUCCAGACUCCUACGGGAGGCAGCAGUGGGGAAUAUUGGACAAUGGGCGAAAGCCUGAUCCAGCCAUGCCGCAUGAGUGAAGAAGGCCUUUGGGUUGUAAAGCUCUUUUAGUGAGGAAGAUAAUGACGGUACUCACAGAAGAAGUCCUGGCUAACUCCGUGCCAGCAGCCGCGGUAAUACGGAGAGGGCUAGCGUUAUUCGGAAUUAUUGGGCGUAAAGGGCGCGUAGGCGGAUUAGUAAGUUAAAAGUGAAAUCCCAAGGCUCAACCUUGGAAUUGCUUUUAAAACUGCUAAUCUAGAGAUUGAAAGAGGAUAGAGGAAUUCCUAGUGUAGAGGUGAAAUUCGUAAAUAUUAGGAGGAACACCAGUGGCGAAGGCGUCUAUCUGGUUCAAAUCUGACGCUGAGGCGCGAAAGCGUGGGGAGCAAACAGGAUUAGAUACCCUGGUAGUCCACGCUGUAAACGAUGAAUGUUAAAUAUGGGAAGUUUUACUUUCUGUAUUACAGCUAACGCG